AUUACAAAGGAAAAAGGAAACACCCCUUCCCACUACUUUGGCACCAACGGAGCCAUUGGCCUGGGAACCUGGAACCCUUUCUCUUAAAACCACCUGUAGUUAUUCUGCAAAAAAAUCUAACACACAAAAACUUCUCUGCUGCAGCUACUACAAAUUCAAUCUUCUGUGAUUUACUUUCCAUCUGUGCGGCUAUGUUAUGACCAUAACAAUAAACGCAGAGAAGCCAACCUUAAAGCAUAAACUGUUCGAAUCCCUACUACUCACAGGGAUAGCUCCCAGGUGGCGCAGGUGGUCUAAGAUACUGCGUCAUUGCAGCAGUACCUGGUUCAAAUCCAGGCUACAACACAUCCGAGUGUGUUGUAGUUGUCCCAGUUGUGACGCACAAUUGGCCCAGCGUUGGCUGGGGUAGGCAGUCAUUGUAAAUAAUAAUUUGUUCUUAACUGACUUGCCUAGUUAUUAAAUAAAAGAAAAAUACUCUCAGGCUCCCUCACCAUCUGCCCACCAUCCUAUCCUCUACUUUCAUCACAGCAUCAGCAUAAAACACUUGCUGCGCUCCCGGAACAGUCAACCUGUCUCACUUGCACAGGACAUGUCUGAUCCCCAGCAACAUGGCCACUUCCUCCACCGACACUACACGCCCCUUUGUCCCAUGCCCUCAAAAUGCUGUUUUGGUAGGAGGGGUGGAGUUCUAUAGGGCGUACAGGUGAGAGGGAGGAGCUUGGAAAUAAAAAGAAGUGCCAAGAUACAGGAAAAGUAGAAGACAUAAAGAAUACAAUCAUUCGCACAAAUGAAUCCAGAUAAGAACCAGAAUUAAGAGCAUACCUGUGAGCCUUAUCAUUCGUCACAGAGAAGUGGCCAAGAGACCAGACAAUGCCAGAGGAGCAGAUACCUGGAGAGGGAUGAGUAUGACGAGAUGCACAACAGCAGGGAGAGGGACUGCACUCAUGAGAGGAAGCUCCUCACAUGAAGAGAGAGACCGGGAAAGGCAAAGAGAGAGAGCGGCAGAAGAGAGACAAAAUGGAUGAGAGAUGCAGGGAUGAGAAGGGCUCUGGAGAUGACAGGAGGGACAGAGAGAAGGACUACUCUGACCGACAGCGGGAUAUGACACCCUGCUCUCACAAGGACCCACCACCUGACCACAGAGGCGGUAGUCAAGGACAACAGAGAGCGUAAGAGACCAUCUGACUGUCACAGAGUUGCUUCCACUGUUACCAUCCUGGGCAUGGGCAAUUCCACAGUAACAGAAUGAUGCAGAAACUCAGAUGUUUUCACUUUAGAAUAUAUGCAAAACAAAAACCAAUCAUUGUAAAAUCAUAAAACCAUAUUGUACAACUAUGCACAAGGACUACUUAAUUUCCACCUUUACAUUUUUUUAAAUACAAAAACACUUUUACAGUUUGUGCUGUCAUUCUGUUACCAAACUUUGCAUCU